GGCAGUGCGCAGCUACACAUGCAGUCGAGCGAGAACUUCGGUUCUAGCGGCGGACGGGUUAGUAACGCGUGGGAACGUGCCCUUCACUACGGAAUAGUCCCGGGAAACUGGGUUUAAUACCGUAUACGCCCUUCGGGGGAAAGAAUUUCGGUGAAGGAUCGGCCCGCGUUAGAUUAGAUAGUUGGUGGGGUAACGGCCUACCAAGUCUACGAUCUAUAGCUGGUUUUAGAGGAUGAUCAGCAACACUGGGACUGAGACACGGCCCAGACUCCUACGGGAGGCAGCAGUGGGGAAUCUUAGACAAUGGGCGCAAGCCUGAUCUAGCCAUGCCGCGUGAGUGAUGAAGGCCUUAGGGUCGUAAAGCUCUUUCGCCAGGGAUGAUAAUGACAGUACCUGGUAAAGAAACCCCGGCUAACUCCGUGCCAGCAGCCGCGGUAAUACGGAGGGGGUUAGCGUUGUUCGGAAUUACUGGGCGUAAAGCGCGCGUAGGCGGAUUGGAAAGUUGGGGGUGAAAUCCCAGGGCUCAACCCUGGAACUGCCUCCAAAACUAUCAGUCUAGAGUUCGAGAGAGGUGAGUGGAACUCCGAGUGUAGAGGUGAAAUUCGUAGAUAUUCGGAAGAACACCAGUGGCGAAGGCGGCUCACUGGCUCGAUACUGACGCUGAGGUGCGAAAGUGUGGGGAGCAAACAGGAUUAGAUACCCUGGUAGUC
rnacentral:rRNA from 1 species